rnacentral:rRNA from 1 species
AGGGUUCGAUUCUGGCUCAGGAUGAACGCUAGCUACAGGCUUAACACAUGCAAGUCGGGGGCAGCACUGGGAUUAGCUUGCUAAUCCUGAUGGCGACCGGCGCACGGGUGAGUAACGCGUAUCCAACCUUCCCCUUAGUAGGGCAUAGCCCGGCGAAAGUCGGAUUAAUACCCUAUGUUCUUCGUAUAGGACAUCUGAAACGAAGCAAAGACUUGUCGCUAAGGGAUGGGGAUGCGUCCGAUUAGCUGGGAUGGCGGGUAACGGCCCACCAUGGCACCGAUCGGUAGGGUUCUGAGAGGAAGGUCCCCCACACUGGUACUGAGACACGGACCAGACUCCUACGGGAGGCAGCAGUGAGGAAUAUUGGUCAAUGGGCGAGAGCCUGAACCAGCCAAGUAAGCGUGCAGGAAGACGGCCCUACGGGUUGUAAACUGCUUUUUAUGCGGGGAUAAAGUGCGGGACGCGUCCCGUAAUUGCAGGUACCGCAUGAAUAAGGACCGGCUAAUUCCGUGCCAGCCGCCGC